rnacentral:rRNA from 1 species
CCUACGUGUGACAGCAGUGGGGAAUAUUGCACAAUGGGGGCAACCCUGAUGCAGCGACGCCGCGUGCGUGAAGAAGUCAUUCGUUAUGUAAAGCUCUAUCAGCAGGGAAGAAAAUGACGGUACCUGAGUAAGAAGCCCCGGCUAACUACGUGCCAGCAGCCGCGGUAAUACGUAGGGGGCAAGCGUUAUCCGGAUUUACUGGGUUUAAAGGGAGCUUAGACGGCAGUGCAAGUCUGGAGUGAAAUGCGGGGGCUCAACCCCCGGACUGCUCUGGAAACUGUACGGCUGGAGUGCAGGAGAGGUAAGUGGAAUGCCUAGUGUAGCGGUGAAAUGCGUAGAUAUUAGGAGGAACACCAGUGGCGAAGGCGGCUUACUAAACUGUAACUGACGUUGAGGCUCGAAAGCGUGGGGAGCAAACAGGAUUAGAUACCCGUGUAGUC